rnacentral:lncRNA from 1 species
AUUCGAGAGGCGCUGGUUGCGCUUCCGAACACAAGCCCAGGAUUGGGGAUAAAUCAACGCGAGAACCGGCUCCCUCGGGGUGAUGUCGGCCGAUCCCGUCACCUUCGUGACCGGCCAACCAAAUGGAGCCCGACCCAAGACUACGUCCAUUAACACGCUAAAUUGUAUUAAAUUUGACCAAAAUUUCCACAGCGAAGAUACGCUAAAUGAAUGGAUCCCCAGAUCACGUAAGAACUGAAGGGCUAUACAAGUCAAAAUGUUGGGCGGGCAUCUUUAGUGGUGCAGUUGUUUGUUGUUUUGCAGUGAUGAAGAUUCGCA